UGGAACGAGGAUUCGUCCAAGGGAAACAGAGGACAGUGGCGGACGGGUGAGUAACGCGUGAGCAACCUUUCCCAGACAGGGGAAUAACACACCGAAAGGUGUACUAAUACCGCAUAAGCCCACGGAUUCGCAUGGAUCUGCGGGAAAAGGAUUUAUUUGCUUCAGGAUGGACUCGCGUCCAAUUAGCUAGUUGGUGAGGUAACGGCCCACCAAGGCGACGAUUGGUAGCCGGUCUGAGAGGAUGAACGGCCACACUGGAACUGAGACACGGUCCAGACUCC
rnacentral:rRNA from 1 species